GAUGAACGCUGGCGGCGUGCUUAACACAUGCAAGUCGAACGGAAAGGCUCCUGCUUGCAGGGGUACUCGAGUGGCGAACGGGUGAGUAACACGUGGGUGAUCUGCCCUGCACUUCGGGAUAAGCCUGGGAAACUGGGUCUAAUACCGGAUAGGACCACAUUUUGGAUGGUGUGGUGGAAAGUUUUUCGGUGUGGGAUGAGCUCGCGGCCUAUCAGCUUGUUGGUGGGGUAAUGGCCUACCAAAGCGUCGACGGGUAGCCGGCCUGAGAGGGUGUACGGCCACAUUGGGACUGAGAUACGGCCCAGACUCCUACGGGAGGCAGCAGUGGGGAAUAUUGCACAAUGGGCGCAAGCCUGAUGCAGCGACGCCGCGUGGGGGAUGACGGCCUUCGGGUUGUAAACUCCUUUCGCUAGGGACGAAGCGCAAGUGACGGUACCUGGAGAAGAAGCACCGGCUAACUACGUG
rnacentral:rRNA from 1 species